AGGACGAGUGACUGACUGAGCUCGGGUACCGCCUGACGAGCCCUGCCGCGGCAGCGGCCGAUCCCUCGGCCGGACGCUGGUCCGUAAAGGUGGUCGGGCCCGGGCCCGGCCGGUCCCCCUCUGGCCUUUCCACCCGCAAAGUCGCAUUUGCAAUCUUGCACACCCUUCUGCCGCUUCCUGAGGAGCAGGGUGAGAGGGUCCCUUAGUAAGGUGUAGAGCGUACGGCCUUUCGGAUUGUUAAGGUCUGAGAACUCCUAAGAGGCGUGAUUUGGGCUGAACGUUUGAGGCGUAUGCUAUUUCUGAGGUGAUGGUUUGUGGACUCUGCAACAGCCUUCUCAGAGGUGCGGGGCCGGGGCCGUAGAAACCGCAGAACCGCUUCUCGGUUCCCGUCCUGCCCCGACCCGGGUAGCGGAUACCCGGGGGCAGUUCACUCCCGGCUGCGGAACGCCUUAAUCUGCAAAAUGGAGACGCUGUCCAGUGCACAGAGCCUUUGAGAAAUCAGGGCAUCGACACCGAUGGACCACCGUGAAACAAAGACUGGCAUUUAACGAUUUUUAAAUCUUAUUUAACCCUUCGUGGUUCCGCUGAAGGUUUGGAGCAGCUGAAGGGUUUUAAAUGAAGGAUGCAGAUAACCUAAAGUUAGAAUUCCCUGGUCUUGGAAGGACCUCAUACUUGGCCCAAGAGGAACUGUAGUGCCAGCUAUCAAAAUCGUGUUUCAACUCGGCUUCUAGUGGCACUUCCAGAACCAGCCUCACAGCACCACUUCUCCCUCCACCCCAGACUUAGCAGCAUGAGUCAGGCAGUGUGUUUCUGGAGAGGUCUGGGUCCCACAACCAUGUUCCUUCUCUUCUAAGCUGCUGGGUUCUGAGAACCCACCCUCCCCUCCACUCAUUGAUCUCUCGCCCCAAAGGCAGUUAUCUGCUUCUUGCUAUUAUUGUUGACAUGUUACUCCAGUGUUCUUUUUAAAAUUUUACAGCCGCUCCAACAUCUAUUUAAUCAAUUCCCUCUGCUAAAUUCUCUCUGCUGAAAUACUUGCCUUGGUUUCUUUUUUUUCCUGAGUGGUGGACCCUGACAAAUAUGAAUUGUGAAAUAAAACAUAGCUCCUGCUGUGAAUGUCAGUCCAAAAGGUUUAAGAAACACUACCUUAGAUGAGGGGGAGAGUUCUUCAAUAGACAGUUGCCCUAAGUGCUGAAGGGCCAGUCCUACCACACACAGGUGCUCUGCAUCUCAGGUAUGUGAAGAGCAGAGACACAGAGACCCAGGCCUGCCAUAGCAGCUCUCACCAUUGGAUGCCAGGCCUAGCUAGCUUGGCCCAUAAAAAUCACUGCUGGUGAGCCUACAGUUCUCUACCACAGUUUGGAUGGAACCCCAUGCUUCAUCUGGAGUCUGACCUCUCUUGGAUAUGUCGAAAACUCAGCUUUUUAAAGUUGCCCUUCUACACUUUUUAGCAAGUGAAGGAAAACAAAAGUUAACGAUGAAAAAACAAGGAAAAAAAAGAAAAGAAAAAAGCAAAGAAGUGGUACCAGAGACCUCAUUAAGUGGGACUUGGUGAGUCAAAGAGAAGGAUGAAAAGGAUUUCAGGGUGCAUAUUUUUCUCUGAUGCUGCCUUUUCUCACAGGUGAUAUGAGGAGGUAAUAGCCAAGAAAAGGAAGGGGAGAACCUUUUCCCUAUGUUUCUGCCAUAUCCAGCCCAAAUGAGUCUUUUGCUCUAUUUUAUUCAUGAACUUACUAUGCUUCUGCUUCAAUGCUCCCAUUAGAAGGGAGACACUCUUUAAAGACCAGAACUAUUAGGCCAGCCUCAUUUAAUCACAUAGUCUUAAUGAAAAGAACUGCUUUACAUUUGGGGAAUUCCAAAUAUUUCUUGUGUAUGCCAAAAUAAACAACAGAACCUCUUGGCAGUCGCCUGUGGGGAUUCUCCUUGCUUAUGAUUUUGUAUUUCUUUAUGCUAAUUUAGAAAUAUGAACAGAAAACCCAGGACUCGGGGCUGUUAAGUGGAUUUGUAACAGUCUGGAGUGUUGUGGGUAUGUAACUCAAUGAAUGAAUGUACAGCCCUCUGUGAUAGCUGAAGUAAUAGUACUUUCAUUGAGCACUGCAGUAAGUCAUCGUGUGUAUUCAGCAAGCUGCUAAUACAUUAGCAACACAUCUUUCACCUGUUUUAGGACCUUACAUUUAGUAGAGGAAUACAUAACUGAAUGUGAAUUGCUCAGGCAAAUGUUGGCAAGUUACUUCAUUUGUGACGUGUAGAACAUUUUCUAGCGAACUGAAAAGCAUGUCACCUUGUGAUUUCACCAGUGAAACACAUUACAAUGUAGGUGGCAUGUCACAGAGGAAAAGCAGUUUGUGAUCAGGUUUUCUAUUUGUAAAAGGCAGUGUUGUGCCAAGCAACCACAAGCACAAAACAUUUUAAGUCUGAAUGAAAAAAGGAGCGGUACGGCUGGGAUCCCAUUUCCCCUUCCAAGAAGAUAUAAGCCACUCUAGGGGGCUACUCCUGGUACCGGAAUCCUUUGCCUGUUUUUUUUCUGUGUCCUAUUUUAGUUUGACCUGUAGGGAAUUGAAAGGGAUGGGUUUAAGAGGUAAAUUCCAUUUCCUCUCUUCCCUCUGGUUUUUCUGCUACAUUUUAGGUCUUCUUUGUGAUUUAUGUGUGUAAAUGAUGUGACUUACAUGAAUCAUUCCUAAAUGGUUAACUAUUGAAGCAAACUGUUCAUCAUCCAGUUCUCUGCGAUACCCUUGCCUUAUGUUCACCAGGCUGCUUCCUCCUUUCUCAAAUCCCACCACAAAUUUCACGUCUUCAAGAAGCCCUUGCUGAUAGCUACAAUGAAGACUUCUAACAGCCUUUAUUCAUCCUUGUCUCUGUCCCUUUCCCCCAGCUCUCCGGUUAACUGUUGUCAUUAUCUGACAGUGAAGUCACAAUGAA